AAUAUUUGUCAAUGGAGGCAACUCUGAACCAGCCAAGUCGCGUGAAGGAUGACUGCCAUACGGGUUGUAAACUUCUUUUUUAAGGGACUAAAGUGAGCCACGUGUGGCUUUUUGCAUGUACCUUACGAAUAAGGAUCGGCUAACUCCGUCCCAGCAGCCGCGGUAAUACGGAGGAUCCGAGCGUUAACCGGAUUGAUUGGGUUUAAAGGGUGCGCAGGCGGAAUAUUAAGUCGGCGGUGAAAGUUUGCAGCUUAACUGUGAAAUUGCCGUUGAAACUGGUUUUCUUGAGUGUAUAUGAAGUAGGCGGAAUUUGUAGUGUGGCGGUGAAAUGCAUAGAUAUUACAAGGAACUCCGAUUGCGAAGGCAGCUUACUAAAAUACAACUGACGCUCAGGCACGAAGGCGUGGGUAUCAAACA
rnacentral:rRNA from 1 species